UACGUAGGGGGGCGAGCGUUGUCCGGAUUUAUUGGGCGUAAAGAGCUCGUAGGCGGUCUGUCGCGUCGGAUGUGAAAAAUCCAGGGCUCAACUCUGGACCUGCAUUCGAUACGGGCAGACUAGAGUUCGGCAGGGGAGACUGGAAUUCCUGGUGUAGCGGUGAAAUGCGCAGAUAUCAGGAGGAACACCGGUGGCGAAGGCGGGGUCUCUGGGCCGAUACUGACGCUGAGGAGCGAAAGCGUGGGGAGCAAACAGG
rnacentral:rRNA from 1 species